GCAUUAAUGGGGUAGUGGUAACCUGGGUCGUUGCCAUUCGGCUUGCAUAAAGUCGACCCGCCGGGGGUUCGAUUCCCUCUUAAUGCA
rnacentral:tRNA from 1 species